GCCCAGGACUGAGCCUCCGGAAGGUCGUGUGGGGGUGUCCGCAGGGAGGACUUUUCCAGCUCCUCUGCUGAUUCCUCUGAGCAAGACCACCUCAUAUGGCAUGAAUGCAGCCGGUGCCACAACACGUGCUCCCAAGAUCCAGGAGAGCACUGGGAGAGAUUUCUGUUGGGGAACCGGCUGUUUGAGUGUGAU